rnacentral:rRNA from 1 species
AUUGAACGCUGGCGGCAGGCUUAACACAUGCAAGUCGAGCGGAAACGGAGGUAGCUUGCUACCAGACGUCGAGCGGCGAACGGGUGAGUAACGCGUAGGAAUCUACCUAGUAGAGGGGGAUAGCCCGGGGAAACUCGGAUUAAUACCGCAUACGCCCUAAGGGGGAAAGCAGGGGAUCUUCGGACCUUGCGCUAUUAGAUGAGCCUGCGUCGGAUUAGCUAGUUGGUAGGGUAAAGGCCUACCAAGGCGACGAUCCGUAGCUGGUCUGAGAGGAUGAUCAGCCACACUGGAACUGAGACACGGUCCAGACUCCUACGGGAGGCAGCAGUGGGGAAUAUUGGACAAUGGGGGCAACCCUGAUCCAGCCAUGCCGCGUGUGUGAAGAAGGCCUUCGGUUGUAAGACGACUUUACUAGUAGGAGGAAGACCGUGAUAGCUAAUAAUCUAUUAGG